rnacentral:rRNA from 1 species
GACGAACGCUGGCGGCGUGCUUAACACAUGCAAGUCGAACGGAAAGGCCCUGCUUUUGUGGGGUGCUCGAGUGGCGAACGGGUGAGUAACACGUGAGUAACCUGCCCUUGACUUUGGGAUAACUUCAGGAAACUGGGGCUAAUACCGGAUAGGAGCUCCUGCUGCAUGGUGGGGGUUGGAAAGUCUCGGCGGUUGGGGAUGGACUCGCGGCUUAUCAGCUUGUUGGUGGGGUAGUGGCUUACCAAGGCUUUGACGGGUAGCCGGCCUGAGAGGGUGACCGGCCACAUUGGGACUGAGAUACGGCCCAGACUCCUACGGGAGGCAGCAGUGGGGAAUAUUGCACAAUGGGCGGGAGCCUGAUGCAGCAACGCCGCGUGCGGGAUGACGGCCUUCGGGUUGUAAACCGCUUUCGCCUGUGACGAAGCGUGAGUGACGGUAAUGGGUAAAGAAGCACCGGCUAACUACGUG